rnacentral:rRNA from 1 species
AGGGUUUGAUUCUGGCUCAGGACGAACGCUGGCGGCGUGCCUAAUACAUGCAAGUGGGACGCUUCAACUCAUUUGUUACUUUUUGUAACAGCUGAGAAGAAGAGUCGCGAACGGGUGAGUAACGCGUAGGUAACCUGCCUGAUAGCGGGGGAUAACUAUUGGAAACGAUAGCUAAUACCGCAUAAGAGGAGUUAACUCAUGUUAACUGUUUAAAAGAAGCAAUGGCUUCACUAUCAGAUGGACCUGCGUUGUAUUAGCUAGUAGGUAGGGUAACGGCCUACCUAGGCAACGAUACAUAGCCGACCUGAGAGGGUGAUCGGCCACACUGGGACUGAGACACGGCCCAG